AUAGAUGGCUGAUCAGGAUACAGCAGUCCUGCAAGUUCUGGCUGGCUCACCUUCCCUGCAGCCCCUCGUAGGCAGCCUGCCCUACACCUGCUC
rnacentral:miRNA from 1 species